GAUGAACGCUAGCGGCAGGCCUAAUACAUGCAAGUCGAGGGAGAAUGUUGGAUUCGUCUGACACGAAACCGGCGCACGGGUGCGUAACACGUAUGCAACCUACCUUUAACUGGGGUAUAGCUCAGAGAAAUCUGAAUUAAUCCCCCAUAAGACUACGACAUGGCAUCAUGAUGUAGUUAAAGCUCCGGCGGUUAAGGAUGGGCAUGAGGUACAUUAGCUAGUUGGUGAGGUAAUGGCUAACCAAGGCUACGAUGUAUAGGGGGUCUGAGAGGAUGAUCCCCCACACUGGUACUGAGACACGGACCAGACUCCUACGGGAGGCAGCAGUAGGGAAUAUUGGUCAAUGGACGCAAGUCUGAACCAGCCAUGCCGCGUGAAGGAUGAAGGCCCUAUGGGUCGUAAACUUCUUUUAUUAGGGAAGAAAAAACGGGAUGCGUCCUGUACUGACGGUACUUAAUGAAUAAGGAUCGGCUAACUUCGUGCCAGCCGCCGCGGUAA
rnacentral:rRNA from 1 species